rnacentral:rRNA from 1 species
AAUGAACGCUGGCGGCGUGCCUAACACAUGCAAGUCGAACGAGAAAGCCCGCAAGGGUGAGUACAGUGGCGCACGGGUGAGUAAUACAUAGGAAUCUGCCUCUGAGUGAAGAAUACCCUAGAGAAAUUUAGGUUAAUACUGCAUAAGCCCAGAAAUGGGGAAAGGUGGCCUCAAGCUACCGCUGAGAGAUGAGCCUAUGGCCUAUUAGCUAGUUGGUAGGGUAAAAGCCUACCAAGGCGAGGAUGGGUAGCCGGCCUGAGAGGGUGUACGGCCACACUGGAACUGAGACACGGCCCAGACUCCUACGGGAGGCAGCAGUGGGGAAUAUUGCACAAUGGGCGCAAGCCUGAUGCAGCAACGCCGCGUGAGGGAUGACGGCCUUCGGGUUGUAAACCUCUUUUAGUAGGGAAGAAGCGAAAGUGACGGUACCUGCAGAAAAAGCACCGGCUAACUACGUGCCAGCCGCCGCGGUAA